GCGUUAUAAAAAAUGUGUCCUCCUGUAGGCAGCCCUCACUUGUGCAGUCUUACACCCUACGUUUGUGGGGGAUGGAGUCCGGUUUACGAGACGAUCGAGACGUGACAAGAUGACAGAAAAACACUGCAGUUGUUGGAUGUGUGUCACGGCAGUAAGAAGACAGACGCAGCACAAGUGUCCUGGUCGACACCAAUGGCGACAGCUUCUUUGGACAUUGAUUUCGGGUACGAGACGUGAUGCUCCAUGAUAGACUGGAACAACUCGUCUUCGUCUUCCCCGUCAAACGGCGGCUGAACAUCGAAGCAUCAACACACCGGAGUAUCCUCGUCAUCACGGUUUGUUCUUUGUCAAAAUAAAUUACAGCAGGGACAAUACCGACCUGCCCGGCUAGCAUUUCAUAGAGCAGCACUCCAAAGGCCCACCAGUCCACAGACUUCCCAUAAGGCUGGUAGGCUAUGAUCUGGAAUACACAGACAAAGAGAUAAGUCUCGUUUACUGUGGGGAGGAAAAAAAAAACGGGUUACGUAAACAGACCUCAGGGGCAAUGUAGUCUGGUGUUCCGCAAAACGUCUUGGUGGUCACGCCGUCAGACAUGUUCUCUUUGCACAUGCCGAAAUCGGCGAUCUUGAUGUGGCCUUCGGAGUCGAGCAUCACAUUGUCCAGCUUCAGAUCCCUACGGACACACUUGUAGGUGAUAAGUACAUACUACGGUUCGAGGAGGACUGUGAACGUACGCACCGUUCUCGGUUGACAAAAACUACUCACCGGUAGACGAUCCCUUUGGAGUGGAGGAAGAAGAGGCCUGUGGCGAUCUCCGCUGCAUAGAAUCUGGAAAAUGGAGACAGUUUGUUCCCCAAUGCUUUUGUAUUGAUACGUCGCCGCAGUGUGUGCGUCACAUGAGGAGGAUGGAGUCAUGUUUUCACCAUGUCAUACUGGUCACUUCAGGACUUGCUGGCGGCCGAGGGUUUUUGCGUGUGGUUAGGUUUCCAAUUGCCACAUACACACAGUGUAGUAAAAAAAAAAAGAAGUGUUCCCUCUUAUGAGUAAAAAUGCUCUUAUCUUUCUGUAUUGCGUGCUCCCCAUAAUUCUUCCUUGGAGUAUAUGGCGAAAGCAGUGAUGAUAUUUUAAAUUGUGAAAAAAAAGUACAAAAUGUUUAUGGGACUUGCAGUUGUUAAAGAAUCUCAAAAUGUUCCAUUUCAACAUGAGGUGUACAGUUCAUAACCGUUUGUUGAUAGCGA